GAAAGGGGCUAUAACACAACCUUUAAAACCAAUAGUUCAGCAGGAUAUUUGCCUACAACAAGUAUUGGGUGUUCCAAAAUUUCCUGAUGAAAAGAAUACCUUGUGACCACAACACAGGUCUAGAGUCUCUCUGGAACUGAACCCAUCUGUUUCAUGAGUCACUCAGGUCUGGAAUCAGCAAGCAACUUUAUAUGGAGAGUAAAUACUGCAUCUAGAGGUGUCAUUAAUGAGUCUGGAGUUCAGUAAGAAGAGAAUACCAAAUAUUACAGCAACCCUGGGUAAUUAAGCAGAUGUGGAAACUCAGACCCAUGGAGAAGAGGUCCUCUGCCCUGACAGCUUCAUAAGCCUGGCUUUGACACGGAAAAG